rnacentral:rRNA from 1 species
UACGUAGGGUGCGAGCGUUAAUCGGAAUUACUGGGCGUAAAGCGUGCGCAGGCGGUGCUGUAAGACAGGCGUGAAAUCCCCGGGCUCAACCUGGGAAUGGCGCUUGUGACUGCAGUGCUGGAGUGCGGCAGAGGGGGAUGGAAUUCCGCGUGUAGCAGUGAAAUGCGUAGAUAUGCGGAGGAACACCGAUGGCGAAGGCAAUCCCCUGGGCCUGCACUGACGCUCAUGCACGAAAGCUAGGGGAGCGAAAGGGAUUAGAUACCCCCGUAGUCC